rnacentral:rRNA from 1 species
GACGAACGCUGGCGGCGUGCUUAAUACAUGCAAGUCGAACGCAGUGGGGACGGGGGAGUAAAACGUGGGUAACCUCCCAUCAGAGGGGAUAACACUUGGAAACAGGUGCUAAACCGACAUUGAUGGAUGAACUCGCGGUGCAUUAGCUAGUUGGUGAGGUAGCGGCUCAGCAAGGCCACGAUGCAUAGCCGACCUGAGAGGGUGAUCGGCCACACUGGGACUGAGACACGGCCCAGACUCCUACGGGAGGCAGCAGUGGGGAAUCUUCGGCAAUUGACGAAAGUCUGACCGAGCAACGCCGCGUGGGUGAAGAAGGUUUUCGGAUCGUAAAGCUCUGUUGUUAGAGAAGCGGUAUCUAACCAGAAAGCCACGGCUAACUACGUGCCAGCAGCCGCGGUAAUUC